rnacentral:misc_RNA from 1 species
GAAAUAAAUCUGAUGAGUUGCUGCUGGUUCUCUAGGGAGCAUGUGCACGCUUGUCAUCUUUAUAUCUCCACCUGUGCACCUUUUGUAGACCUGGAUCUCUCUCUGAAUGCUAGCAUUCAGGAUUGAGGAUUUGACUUCAUUUCUUUCCUUCCAUUUCCAGGCCUAUGUUUCUUCAUAUACCCCAAUGUAUGUCGUAGAAUGUAAUCAAUGGCCUUUGUGCCUAUAAACCUAUACAACUUUCAGCAACGGAUCUCUUGGCUCU